UCCUGGACUAGUCAUCAGAAAGAGAGCAAGCUGAGAAAAAGAUCUUCGCAAAACAUUUUGGAUGCGGGACUUGUAUCAGGAUGUGAAAAACUCCUGCGACCAGAGAGCAAAGAAAGCAUCGAGCCAAUGAAAAUGCGUGAAGGAUUCGAACAGAGAAGAUGCCCAUGGGAAGCAAAGCAACAGCCUCACUGCUGCUUGAGGUGCAGGAAGGCAUUGCCCCUCCUUCAGCCACCACCGUGUGGACCAUGUUCUGAUGGUCGUUGCCACUACAUAAGCACAGAGAGCCCGUGGCCAAAGCUUGCAUUCCAGCUCCAUAUUGACAGUGAACACCUACAUCGACCAGACCCCAGGCAAGGCUGGCAGCCACACAGGACCAUGUGUCUCUUCUUGUCCAUCCCCCAGAUGUCUCCUCAUUUGAGCAACACCCUGCGGGCCCAAACUCUUCCAUGUUCUUUUGAUGCUGCUCUUGCCACAGAAAAGGUGGGACAGGCCAGCGGUCUGGUGUCCCUGAUUGUCCACAGUUUGAGGCAUUAGACUCUGGACUCAGCCUCAUGAUGGUCACAUCCCAACUGUCACCAAGGAGGUCCACUGUGCAAAGUCCUCAGGUGCUCUCAGACCAUGACCUGCAUCUUAUGGCCCUAGACUCUGGUAGGCAAGAGGAGCAGAUCAGGUAACAUACAGGAAGCUGAGCACGAGAAGUGCUGACUCAAUGCUGUUUCUAGUACCUUCUCCUGAGAGGAUUCUUGGGAAAGAGAGGAAAAAAAAAAAUAGCAACACAGUCACUCAGAGGUUUGAGAAUUUGAAGGUGACCUAGAACCUACAGCUGAGACAA
rnacentral:lncRNA from 1 species